rnacentral:rRNA from 1 species
GACGAACGCUGGCGGCGUGCCUAAUACAUGCAAGUCGAACGCAGUGGGGACGGGUGAGUAACACGUGGGUAACCUCCCAUCAGAGGGGAUAACACUUGGAAACAGGUGCUAAACCGAUACUGAUGGAUGGACCCGCGGUGCAUUAGCUAGUUGGUGAGGUAACGGCUCACCAAGGCCACGAUGCAUAGCGGACCUGAAAGGGUGAUCGGCCACACUGGGACUGAGUGACGGCCCAGAAUCGAACGGGAGGCAGCAGUGGGGAAUAUUCGGCAAUUGACGAAAAGCUGACGAAGAGAAGCAGAGUGAGUGAAGAAGGUUUUCGGAUCGUAAAACUCUGUUGUUGGAGAAGCAGAAUCUAACCAGAAAGCAACGGAAAACUACGUGCCAGCAGCCGCGGUAAUAC